UCUCCGUAGGUGAACCUGCGGAAGGAUCAUUAACACAAAAAAAUUAUUUUUAUCCACCUUUUUUAUCGAUGGACAAAAAGGGAGAAUUUUUAUUCUUUUUUUUUUUGUUCACUCGGUAAAAAAAGCACCGUGAUAUGUUGAAGUCCUUAACCUCAUUUUUAAAAAAAAAAAUUUAUUUUUUUUUUUAAAUAAUAGAGGUCAUUUUAAGAACCCUUUCACCAUAAUUAAUAAUUAAAAUUUUGUUUUUUAUUCUUUUUAUUGUAAAAAGAUAAGGAAAUUAAUAAAAACAAAACAAAAAAAAGAAAACCGAGACACAACUUUUAACAACGGAUAUCUUGGUUCUC
rnacentral:misc_RNA from 1 species